UAGAUAACCUCUUCAAACCAAAGGAAAGAUUCAUUCCUGAGAAGGAGAUGCAUAUGAGAUCUAAAAGGAUUUAUGACAAUUUACCUGAAGUGAAAAAGAAACAAGAAGAAAAACAGAAGCGGAUCAUCAUCCAGAGUAAUAAGCUGCGUGUCGAGAACUUUAAAAAGCAAUUACUGGACCAGCUCCUUCAAAGAAACACGGAGUGACAAAGGAUUCUCUUGCCCAUUAUCCUAAUUGGAUCUUGAAUGCCUUUGACUGCCAUAAAAUUCACUGUUAUCUCAAUUACCUGGAGGUGUUGUUCUUAUCUUUGGCUCUUUGUAUGAAGAAAGAACAUUUAUAUUUCAACUGAAAUUUAUAGGCAUCUUUCAAGUAAUCAAAACCAGUCUAAAAGGAGCACAGCUGCUUCAGAGCAUCACCUUUUGGUCAGCUUGCCCAGAGGAAAUCAUUUAAAGAAUUUUAAAUGCAAAUACUGAAUUACAGUGGUAUUAUUUACCUUCAUCUUUUGAAAAAGAUGCAUCUCUGUAGCCAUAGAACUGGUUUUAUAAGAUCUGGACAACUUAUUUCACUGAAGUAUUCUAUUAAUUGAUUUCCUGUGAGUUAAAUCCUUGAAGUAAAGAAAAAUGAAAAUCAUUAUUUGUUAUGUUUAGAAACUAGCUGAAAUAGCAUUCCCACAUAAUCAUAGAAGCAGCAGUUUCACAUUAAUACUUAACAUACCAAAAGGGACCAAUAUUUUAGCUCUCUGGAGAACUCUAUUCCUGUUUAUGUAGUGAAUCUACAUAGCAAGCUUACCUGUUAAAGAGCAAUACUUUAAAACUUGAUUGUAACAGGGUUUUGUGUUUUUCAUUGUAAUAUAUAUUUUACUCCACUUCUAUGAUCACUAAGUAUUUAUAGAAAUGGCAUAUUAAGAAGUGGUGCCAAGAAGUAUGUUUGCAUCAAAACUGCAGAACUAAAACCAUCUGUAAUGUUUCCUCCAAAAAUAUUUAAAUCUUUAUUUGUACAUUUUGGAAGUAAAACCAACCAGCUUACAAACCAAUGGAGUUU
rnacentral:lncRNA from 1 species